rnacentral:tRNA from 2 species
GUGGUAGUGGUGUAAUUGGUAACAUAUCUGGCUUCCACCCAGAAGACUUGUGGGUUCAAACCCCACCUAUCACA